CCAAUUAAAUCUGUGGGAAUUUAUAAAUGUGGACAACCAAUUACUGUUUAUAUACCCAUAAUGCAUGUGUAAUGAUCAAAUUCAAUGUGCUAUUUAUUCCAUAGAAAAUGAAGUGGAUGGAGAGACGGUACACCUGGGCUUAACUGACUCAAUGCUAGACCAUCUAUUCAAAGACUCGUUCAAAAAGCUGGCCAAGUUCCUUCAAAUAGUACGACAGAUGCAGGAGCCUGGACACGGAGAGGCCUGUUCCACUCAAAGCAACACACAACCCAACACAGCUGUUGGAGGAGGUGGGUCGUGUACACUCCACAGCGAGCAUUGGUGUCACUGAUGGCUUUAACCAGAUAGUUCCCAGUGUUUGCCCUGGCUCAAGGAAAAUCUCCACUAGCUAAACAGUACUUGGAGGCCAGAGAAGAAGCGCUCACCGAGGAUCUACCAGGAAUGGACUUCAGAGCGGUGUUCAUCCUCCGUUCAAUCAAUUUUAAAAUGUGUGGAUCAUCACAUCAUGAUGGGAGAGG